rnacentral:misc_RNA from 1 species
UACAGUGCUUUGCAGUGCUGAGCUCGGCAG